UACGUAGGGGGCGAGCGUUGUCCGGAAUUAUUGGGCGUAAGAGCGUGUAGGCGGUUCGGUAAGUCUGCUGUGAAAUCCUGGGGCUCAACCCCGGGCGUGCAGCGGAUACUGCCGGGCUAGAGGGUGGUAGAGGCGAGUGGAAUUCCCGGUGUAGCGGUGAAAUGCGCAGAUAUCAGGAGGAACACCAAUGGCGAAGGCAGCUCGCUGGGACGGUACUGACGCUGAGACGCGAAAGCGUGGGGAGCGAACGG
rnacentral:rRNA from 1 species